UAAGGUGGGGAGGUGAUUGGAAGGAAAUCGAUUCAUGCCUUUAGGAUUAUUUUUUUGAGGAACAUAUACGUUGAAUUGGCCAAAAAAAAAUAUGUGUUGAAGAGGAGAACAUGAAGCUGUAGAAACGAUUGAAUUUCUCAGAUGAGUUUGAAGAAGACAAAGGCUAAACGAUUGAAUCGCAUAAAAAGUGGGCCAGAUGAUGGUCUAAUGAAUUACAAAGUGGUCACGUUGAAACUAAAAGCCUGUUUUGGAGAUAGUUGAUGAUGUG
rnacentral:lncRNA from 1 species